rnacentral:lncRNA from 1 species
GGAAACCGCAGCUGAUAUUCCAGAACAAGAAAGGGCUAUUGCCAGGCUGGAAGUUGCGGUGGGACUUGGUGACUGGAACUGACUUGGGGGAACUCCUGACCAACGCAAUUAUAACAUUUUGGAAAGAGCACCCUCUGCUAGCAAGUUGGGAGGCUGCUGCUCCUCACGCAGAGUUCCCGUUGUUUGAUCAGAAAAUGUGGACAUGGCGGAGAGCAAAGAUCGAUUUGAACAGGCAGCUUCUGCGGAGACAGCAGUGUGGAGUUUGGAGGGAGCAGCAAGCUUCUGGGUUGAGUUCACAUCAUGGUGCACAAAAACAUCAGUCCGGGUGACCGAGUGACCGGUCGUUUCCUCCCAAGAGUUCCAGCAGAAACAAAUAAAUGUUGCUGCUACCAGAAGAAGUACGGUCCACAUUCGGGGUGAGUUUUUCCACAUCAAUUAAGACAAUCAGGAUAAUUCCUCAGGUGAAGCUCCCUACUCACGUGAUGAAGUGGCAAGCUGACAAUGAACCAACCUCUAUCCUGUACUCUCUCUCCAAGGGUCACAAAGGAGAAUACACAGCAAGCUGCAGUGACCACUUGCUUAAGAAGUCUUGGGAGCUCCCGUGCCGCGAGCUUUGAAAUAAACUGUAGUCGGACAAUCUCUGUGGCGGCCAGCAGAGCUGGUUUAUGAGCAUUGUGGGCUGUGGUGGAUCGGGAUGGGAGGUCACAAAUCUGAAUCAUCCUGCUCUCUGAAGAGUGUGUUGGGUUUGCAGUGCGCACACAACUGUCAGUACUGUGUGUGUGUAUAAGGUUUAUGAUCCUUGAGAAUCCACUUUUUCAAGUCCAUUUAAAGGUCGCCUGUUCGAAAGGAAAAUUUCUCACACUUCAAAGGACCUGGAUCACCCACAUUAAUCAGGUGGAUGUGUCGAAGCCUGAGAACCCAAAAUAUCUGAGAAGUCAGAGAAUAGAGGUUUAAAAAUAUGAGGACACAGACGCCAAGAGGACAAGAGGCUUCUGCAAAAGGACACCGAUCCGAACACAUGAGUUCUCAUAGAGGAAAUGGACACUUUAGAACAAUGUGGUGAAUCAAAUUACAUCAAGCUAAUUAUGAAUAGUUUUAAGUGAUGAAAUGAAUUGGAUUAUUUGUCAUCUCCCCUCCCCCACCCUGAGGCAGGGACCUUGUAGACAUAUUGUUCUCGUACUUUUUAUAUAGCCAAGGAUGAUCUUGAAUUCUUGAUUUUUCUCUGCCUCCACCCCUUGUUUCCAGGAGCAUAGAUUAAUCAUCUUGAACCCCUCCCCCAAACCUAAGCAAACAAAUAAACAAAAGGAAAAAAUAGAAAGAAGAGAGAAUGUCCCCAAUACAUAGGGGUAUUAUUUUAUUUUUUCUUUAUUAUGUUUUAAUUAAAAUACAAUUAUGCUGUUUUUCCCCAUUUUCCUCCCUCCAGUCCCUCUCAGCUACCCUCUUUUUUCUUUUUUAUGGCUUCUCUCAAGGUUCCACUUUUCGUUCUUUGCAUUCUUCACUUCUUUUAUUGAUUUUCUGUCUUUCAUAUCAUUUAUCUCCAUCUCACUCAUUUCCUUGUACCUUUGUAUCCACCCUCUACCCCUGCAACCUCCCAGGAAGAAAAAAAUCAAUCUCAUCAUGGAAGCUGUAGUGUGCCACAGCAAAUCCUGCAGUAAAACCUUUUAUCCAUAUAUCUUUACUUGCAAAUGAUUAUUGCAGAUUGGGAGAGCUGGCCCUGAUAUCAUAAGUGUGAGAGAGCUGGUUUUGCUCCUCAUCAACUGCAGUACUCCAGCUCUUAAUGUUUUAAAAAGGAAAUACAGCUUUGUAGUUCAGCUUGUAAGCAUUUGACUUGGGAUGUGACAUAUCCUCAAGCUAAACUAAGAUAAUCUAGUUGUAGAACAUUGAAAAUGUGAUUUUAAUUUUUUUUAAAUUUAAAUUAGAAACAAGAUUGUUUUACAUGUCAAUCCCCGUUCCUCUCCCUCUCCCUCUCCUCCUCCCCUGCCCCCCACUAACACCCUAACUAUCCAAUACCAUUUCUGCUCACCAGGGAAAAG